rnacentral:misc_RNA from 1 species
GUGAAUCAUCAAAUUUUUGAACGCAAAUUGCACUCUCCUCGGAGAGUAUGCCUGUUUGAGGGUCAGCCUAAAAAAAAUCAACAUCGUUGCUGUUCCGCGUUGACGUUCGUCGGAAAUUGGGUAAUCUUAAACCUUUUGGUUUAAGCGACUUAAAUUUUUCCUUUUGUUUCAUUGACGGUUUCUAGGUUUUAUUUCUUACACGGUUUAGGUAU